rnacentral:rRNA from 1 species
AUGUUGGAAAGUAAGAUUCACCCUGUGUCGCAGGGGCUUAUAAUUCAUGAAGCUGAUCGCAAACUUGAGCAAAAUUUUGAGGAGGACAUGAAACAAAUAUUUAAGCGCCUCCCUCGGGCUCUCUGCUCGAAAUGUCUGCUGAGCAUCUUCUUCAUUGAGCCAAAAUCAAUUGCUUGGUGCAGUUCCAGUUUGUUCUUACUAUCCAAUACUAAUUUAUAA